UACGGGGGGAGCAAACGUUGUUCGGAAUCACUGGGCGUAAAGGGCGCGUAGGCGGCCCGGCAAGUGGUGUGUGAAAUGCCCUGGCUCAACCAGGGAACUGCGCUCCAAACUGUCGGGCUUGAGGACAGUAGAGGAAGUUGGAAUUCCUGGUGUAGCGGUGAAAUGCGUAGAUAUCAGGAGGAACACCGUUGGUGAAGGCGAGCUUCUGGGCUGUUCCUGACGCUGAGGCGCGAAAGCUGGGGGAGCAAACAGG
rnacentral:misc_RNA from 1 species